GCCAACGUCGCUUAACGCUAGGGUAAAGCAUUCAUUUCCACUCUUCUUUAGGGCAGAAUGUGGUGGAUCUGAAAUGGAGGUUCGAAUCCUCUCGUUGGCC
rnacentral:tRNA from 1 species